GUGCUCACUUCAGCAACACAUAUACUAAAAUUAGAACGAUAUAGAGAAGAUUAGCCUGUCCCUUGCACAGGAUGACAUGCAAAUUCAUGAAGCAUUCCAUAUUUUU
rnacentral:snRNA from 10 species